UUUUAAUCUCAGCAAGAUGCUCUGGGGCAAGUGUUGAAAUCCCGAUCCAGUCCCGGGUGCAGAAGCCUCGACCGAGGCAGCUUCUUGGUGCUGCUGUGCACCGAGGGCCGCCCUGAGCUGCUACUCCAGCCCCAGCUCUGCUAAACCGGUUCUUUCCCUUUUAGUCAGACGCCUGCAGUUCGGUUUGCCUGCAGCGAUGACAAAGGAACCGAAGAUAGCCCCAGCUCUACAGCAGCGCUGGAGACUGGGCUUGGGCAGAGUGCGUGGCCCGUCACCCACAGGCCUGUCUGGGCGUCCCAGCCGGGUGCAGCCCUGACCCCUUAGGGUCUUGUCUGCCUUUCCUUUCUGCAGUCCUCGGAUGACAAUGUCUCCUGUCAGCACUCUGGGUGGUGGUGAGCUGGAUGACUGCCUGGAAAGCUGUCUUGGCUAGAAGGUCCGUGCGAGGGAGACUAUGUUCCUUCUACCAGUGUGGCCCCCUUGCUCCCUUGGACCCCCUCUUUAUGCCAAGAGGCCAGAAGGGAAGCUUCCGGAAGGAUAAAGGACACUCUUCGUUCUUAUCAUUUUGUAAAGCACUUCCACUCUGGUUGGACUGUGACAGUUCCAGAAACUAAAGCAAUUCCCCAAACCUAGCAACAUUCCAGAGAUAACAGAGUGCAUAGUCACUGGAUUGGAGCCUUCCCUGAAGAAGCACAGCUGUUUCUGAGUCACUCCACGGAACUACGCUUUUGCCUCAGGCCUCAGACGGUGCUGCAUCUCGGCUUGAGUUCCUACCCCAGAACAAAGCCUGACCCAACCUCCUGCGUGACUUUGUUGCUGUUCACCCUCAGUUCUCACUCAAAACUUCAGCUCUACUCCCAACCUUGAAUUUGACCACCAUUGCUGGAACUCCCUCCACAGACCAGGCUGGCCCGGAACUCAGAGAUUUGCCUGCCUCUGUCUCUUGCAUAAUGGGAUUAAAAGUGUGCACACCA
rnacentral:sRNA from 1 species